CCCCUCUCAGGAUCGCAACUGGAGAGUUUCCAGUACCUUACCAGACAUGACUAUGGGAGGGAGAGUCAAGCAGAAGCCUACCUAUUCCAUUCCUAGCUUGGGCUGUGGCUAGCAAAUGGAAGACAAUCUGCUACAAGU